rnacentral:lncRNA from 10 species
CUCAGGCAGAGGUACCCCACAUAGAACAAUGUGACUGCUGUAGCUCAGGUCUGUGUGCUCCCUUUGAGCUUGAGAACCCAGGGAAUAGGUUCUCAGAUCGACCUGGCCUCAUCUUGUGCUCCGAGUGGCCAACCAAGGUCAUAUGUUUCUUCCUGGGCUCAGAGGUCAGCUCCACUCAAACCUCAUGGGCCCAGCAAGACUAUUAGGGACUGAGGGAGAGCUCGUUCCCCAGAAGAAGGGAUGCUUGGCAGCAAAAGCACAUAUCCAGUAGACUGGCCCUACCUCUUAACUCACCAGGAAUGCUUUGGCAGGCAUCUCAUUUACAUGCAAUCCAACCUUUGCCCAGUGAUGAAAGUGAGCUGAAGGGUAGAUACAAGUGGCCUUGAGAAAGCCACAGCACAAUUGCUUCCCUCCCUCCACACCCCUGCCAUUCCCUUAUUUGUGGAGUGGGAGGGUAUCUAACCACAUAGAACCAAGGGAUUUGCAAUGCAUUUCUCAAUUUCUUGAACUGCUGAAUGAGGUGUCAUUUGUCCAGGUGCGUGGAACAUAGCACCGCUCAGUGAAAGCUAGCUUAAUCUCAGCCUUUCCUAUUCAUAGCCAAAGAAUUACCAUGAGUAAUUCUACCUCUUUACGAAGAGUUAAGCAAUUAUUAUAAGAAGGCCACUGUAGUGCCUUUAUAGAACUGCAUUUCUGCCAUGAGUAACAGUGAAGAAUCUUUUAUGCUAUUAACCUGUGUAAAUUUUAGAUUUUUAAAAAUAGUAAGUUAUAUAGGUCACUGCACUCUACCUGUAACUAAUUGCAGCAUUAGCUAUCAAAUUCUCAUUGUUGGUUAAUUUAUCUUCAAAGACUCAAGAAUGCAAUUCAAGGUAAUUACUACCUGUAUGCCAUGCUUCAUUUAUGGCCUCUGUGAGUCAUGAAUCUUCUUUCUAUAACUGAAAACAUUUAAUGCAAUUAAUUCAAGAGGUCUGCCACAUACGCCGUAUAACCAAACUUAGCAUAAAUUGUAUAAAUGUGUGUUGUAUUUUAUGAUCGCGUCCUGGAAUUCUCACAGGAAAUAUGACAUCUCCUAGUAACACUGGUUGGAUUAAGGGAGGGAAUAGAGAAUUGUGUUAUUCUUUCUUCAUGUUAAUGAAGGUUUCAUUAAUUUUUUCCCCUUAAACGAAGACUGGAAACCCUUGAAAUAUCUUUGCAAUGCAUUUCUCAAUUUUUGGAACUGCUGAAUUAUAUAAACACACCUUGCUUCUAUUUGAUUUUGAUUGCUUUCUUGGCCUAGUUUCCCUGCAAGCAUUUGGUCUGAUUGAAUAAUUUUUAGUUGUGUUUUCUUGCUGUGUCUGUGCUAGUCUGCUAACGGUUGGUGUUUGCAGCAUUGUUACAAUCUACCGACUUUAUCUUUUGCUGGAUUUUUAAAGGGGUAUUUUAUUGCCUGUCAUUACCAUUCAUAGUAGCUUCUGGGCACUGUCAUUCCGGCAGCUGAAUGCAGAUCCCAGCGUGCCACUCACCGGGCCCUCUGUUCUUAGAGAGAACCUCAGCGCCUCCCCAAAGAGCCACAUCAUCAUUCCUCCAGCUCUGCUUCUUGGCAUAUUUUUGAUUUUUCAUUUUAGAUGAGUUGUUCGAGUUUCAAUUGGAGAGAUAAUGCCAUUUAAGAUGAGGAUAACUCCGUGAUGCCUCAGAUGAUUUCAUUGCAGCCUUUGCCUAGACUGCAACAUGGCCAAUAAUGCCACGCCUUGCAUAUGGGUGGCCGUUGUGGCACUUCAGACAUUCUCUAGUAACAGGACCUCGAUGCUGAGAGACAAAAUCUGCAUCCUCACCUGUCAGAUAAGGAGACAGCCCAAAGAGUGAGUGUGGUCACCAGACCAUGCUCUACACGUUAGAACAAAGGACCCCAGAAGCACAUCUGCCCCAGACUCAACCAGAUGGGCUUUGCUGUCCAGACAACAUAGGUGGAGACCUCACAUUUCGAGGGAACGUGGAACACGGAACACUUCAGAUUUUCAACGAUGCUGGAUUUGAGCUGUUCACUUGAAAAUAAAGUCUGUUGCAUCACAAGUGCUGGUUGGCAUCGCUGUCCUCCUAUCAGUGGAUUAAGAAAAGGCACAGCGAAAAACUAGUUUAAAAUCACCAGUCGGAUAUUUUACAGGUGCUUUCUAUUCAGAAGAGGAUAAAAUACCUUGGAGAGAAAAAAGAUGGAAGAGAGAAGAAUUUCAAUUUUGGAUUAUUAUUUUUAGCUGGACAAAUUGAGAGGAAAAAGUUCUCAAAUUUUAUGUGAAAGAAGAUUUAUGAGAUAUGAAUGAACUGCUGUCAUUAGAUACCGCCUUAUUAUACGCCAGCUGGUCAUCAGCAUGGAGGAGUUCAAUGUGAAGAGCGAUUGCAGGGAAUAAAUUCUCCAUUCUUCACCCAUGGAGCUGAUGUUCUGGACCUGUCAACACUUUGCCCUAAUCCACUGGUGCAUUCUGACCUGAGGUGGUCGGGCACCAGGACCCCAGGAGGCUGUGGGAAGUGAGGGGCCAGCCUACUGGAGCCCACGUGGGACCAGGUGGAGCCUGCAACACGCAGUCCUCUCCCAGACAGCAGAUUGGGGGUUAGUAUCUGAGAGUAGCAGCCUGCAAGCCUGGACUUGCAUCCCGUCUGCCACUUACUUUCUACCUGCAUGAAGUUAAAGACUUUUAGCCUCUCUCAGCCUCAGUUUGCUUAUCUAUAAAGUGAGUGAAAAUUAUGCCCAUAUCAAAGGGCUUUACGGGUUAACAGUACUUGUUGAGCACCUUGCACUUAGCCUGGCAUACAGUUAAUAUGUAGUAAAUUAUUAUUUUUCAAAAUAGCAAAGCUAGUACUCUUGAAUUUGGCCCAGUUGAUACCAAGUUCUAAUCAAUGAUAUUAUAAGCCAUGAAUAUGCUUGUGGAAAAUAAACUCUGAAGAAUUUGGAUCAAUAGAGUGAAGGGAAAAGUUGAAUCGUUAUGGGGUUGAUGCAAGCCUAAAAGUUGUCUUCAAUCUGAACUGGUAAGCAAUGCUUACCAAUUUAGCAGACUAAAGUCUGUUCUCACACUGCUGAUAAAGACAUACCCAAGACUGGGUAAUUUAUAAAUAAAAAGAGUUUAAUGGACUCACAGUUCCAUGUGGCUGGGGAAGCCUCACAAUCAUGGCAGAAGGCAAUAGGCACAUCUUACAUGGUGGCAAACGAGAGAGAUUGAGGGCCAAGUGAAAGGGAUUUCCCCUUAUAAAACCAUUAGAUCUUGUGAGACUUAUUCACUGCCACAAGAAGAGUAUGGGGGAAACCAGCCCCAUGAUUCAAUUAUCUUCCACUGGGUCCCUCCCACAACACGUGGGAGUCAUGGGAGCUACAAUUCAAGAUGAGAUUUGGGUGGGGACACAGACAAGCCAAGCCAUAUCAAAUGCCCACCUUGCCUUCUGCAGAAGCUGACUGCUCAGGGCCAGCUGGCUUUGGCUCCUGCAGGUUUGGUCUCAGAGCAGGCAGCAACAAUGGUGGGCUUUGAACUCUGGCUGGGCAAUUCUUUCUUGAGAUUGGGACAAGCUGAAUGGGAAAGUCACCAUGCUUUUGUACGAGAUCUUCUCCUCUCCUCAGGGAGAGAAGCACCCCACUCUAACCCACAUAGGAAGAGCCAAUAUCUCAUCUUAUCCUCAGGAUAACUCCUGAGGGAGUGGGGAGGAACUGUUAUUAUUCCCAUAUCACAGAUGAAAUGACUCAGACAGGCUCAAAGUCACAGAAGAGCUGAGUGGUAGCAUGGGGUGAGCCCACAGGCAGUUUGACUGAAGAGAUGACACCCUCAGCCAGUGUCCUUCCCCUCUGGGUACGGAGCCUGUAAAGGUGUACCCUGAAGAUACAGAGGAAGGUAGCACACCAAAGAAGACUUUCCACAGAGACUGAUUUUAUUUCAUAUUUAUGGAUGCUAAUGUAGAGAGAAAUAAUAUUAAAUCCAUAGCAAUAGAUUAAAAUACUCUUAGAGAAGGCAGGUAAUUAAGGAGCAAGGGUGAAAAAGGCUUGAUUAUUUAAAAGAAAAAUCGUGAGGAUGAAAGAUCUUCUCGGAGCAGCCAUCAGAAGAGUAAGGAAAAUCUGUUCUUGGGGUAGGAACAGGGUGGGCAGCAUGGUGAAUGUGUUGAUUUGGGACACACCAGUAACAGAAGGGUCUGUGGUCAUUACAGAUUGAGGCCGCCAUCGGCUCCUAGUGUGAACUUGUUAUCGGAGUAUUUUAUAGUCCACCUGACCAAAAAGAACAACUGGACUGUGAAAUGAUAGAGCAAAUAAAAAAAGCCGUAAAAGAGCCAGACUGAUAGUAAUGGGAGAUUUUAAGUACCUGAGCACAGAGCAGAGUGCAUUAAGUGGGUGAAAUAAAGCUUGAAGUGUGUGUGGAGGAGGCGGUGGGGAGGGGAGAGUGGGAGGUGAGAGGAGGCUGGCGAGGAGGGAGGCGAGUUCUCCGGAGGGGACUGUCUAACUCAGCACCUAACAUAUCAUAGAAUGUAGAAGGGGUAAUUAAAACGAGCAUCUGCAUUAGUGCAUUGGCUCCUGGCCGGGUCAGCCCUAUUCUUUCUCCUGGUCUGUGCAUCCAAGGAAAGUCUUCCACAUCCAGAUUACUACAUCAUCGCAUUGUUCAAAUUGCACUGUUUAGUGUAUUUGUUUAAAAUUUAAAUUGCAUUUCUGGAUUAUAGUUUUAAAACAUGUUUCUGAAUAAAUCUCAAAAUGAGACUUUCUGUACUAGUAAAUAAAUACAUGUAUU